AUGCCUUUUUGGCCCUCGAGUUGCUCUGUAAAUUUAGCUUUUUGUAUGCAUUAUACGGUAAAAUGGCAUUUUCCCCCUACUGUGCAAUAGAAAUCUCUCGAUUUCUUCGGGAACCCGCACUCAGCUUCGCCAUCUCUCUCCAUCUCUACUAUCUUCGAUCUCUACUUCGCGCUCUUCAAUCGUUGCUUCGUCAUCUCUUCCUCCGUGCUUCCUCCGUGAUUUCUUCACCAGCAACUUUGCUCCAGAUCUUUCCAACUGAAAAAACCCAGAUCAUCAUCAUCUAUUCCUCAUCACCACAGUUUCCACCGGACCGCUGAUUCCGGUUGUGUGUGAACCGAUCAAACUGCAGAAAACACCUCAAGUCAAUUUUCUGAGGCUUGGGUUCAAUUUCGUUAGGCUUAAUUCCUUUCCUCGGUGUGCUGGUCAGAAUAUCAAAUUCUUCAGUUUGUGCAGACCAAGUGUUUGUUCUUCUACUUUCCGUUUUCUGGGAUGGCUUCUCAACACUGGAAGAAGCUCAAUUCUGGUGGAAAUUGGAAAACUUUGUGGGGGAUUUCAAGGUGUUUCUGAGAGGUGAAUGUUUUGGAAGGUUGUGAUGCACUCAUAGAAAGGAUACGAUUUCUUUAGAAAAUUGACAAUUGACUCAUCAGUGUUCUGUUGCUUCAUUCCUUCUCAUUGGCUCUUCAUAAGAGCUCAGUUCUAUGAAGCCUGAAGCUAGCCUACUGUCUGCCUAAACCGAAAGAUGAACCAGCAUAUGACAUAGUCAUGGCCCACCUUGACGAAUCUACUUAAUAAGUCCAAGAAACCAAAAUUACCAAGCUUCCCUAGAACCUAUAUACCAGCAUGCCCGCCCAUGUUGCUGUUUUUCCUGUUACACUUUAACGUUAUGAAGCCAUGUUACUUCAAUGUUUGCUACGCAAAAUUUGGAAACUCAAAAAUUGUGGCGACCAUUUCUCUGACUUGAACAUCAUAUUGGUUGAUGCAAAGAAGCUUGAGAGAUGGAUUGCCACACAUUUUUUCUUCAAUAGGGGAACAAUUUUCAGGGAGUUGUCAGAUUUUCAUGCACACAUUCAGUGAUAUUUCUCGAUUAUUCCAAUUGUUCUUUCGCAUUUUUCACAGUUUCUGAACAAAAAUUCUCCACAAUGCUGCUGAUUUGCUUAUGGCGGUGUUAAGGCAGAUCAGAGAAAUCAACAUUCUCAGUGGUCAAAAAUGUUACCCGAGGUGUUUAUGGGUCUCGAGUCAAUCAGUGGUGUGCCUUCAGCUUUGUGACUGAGAGCUUUGGCAUGUGCUCGGGAUCUAGAUGAAAGGUUGUGACAGUUCGUGCUGGCCUAGCUGAAAUUUUUGUGAUCAUAAAACUGUCAUGUGAUAUUACUGUUGUGAAUGUUAUGCAAGGAAUAAAGUUUGUACAAGGUUGCUGAUCGACCUUUGCUGCCACCAACAUAAUGUAUGUAAAAAGUUGUUGAUCAACGAUAAUAGGUAGCUUGCAAAUUUUUCUUAAUGUAUCCUAUUAAAUGGAUUUGAGGAGCUGCGAUAUUGCUUAAUUAUUUUAACAAUGUACAUUAGUAGCUUUUAUUUUUUCACAUUGUAACCGAGAAGCAUGUAUAUCAUGAAAAAUGAAAGUAGUUCUCAAGUGACGAUCGGAGAUCACAAAAACUACCUAAGUGGAAUGUGUUGAUCUAAUAUUUUAAGUGCAUAGAUGGCCAAAACUUUUACGAUUUUU
rnacentral:sRNA from 1 species